GCCUACGGGAACCUGGGCGCCGUGCUCAGCUCCCAGGGCCGGGUGGACGAGGCGGAGAAGGCCUUCCGGCUGGCCCUGCAGCAUAGGCCCAACAUGGCCGACGUCCACUACAACCUGGGCGUGCUGCUGCAGGGCCGCGAGCGCUACGAGGAGGCGAUGCAGAGCCUGCGGCUGGCCAUCCAGUACCGACCCACGCUGGCAGUGGCUCACCUGCACCUGGCGCAGCUGCUGGAGCGGCAGGGCCGCUGCGCGGAGGCGGAGGAGCAGUACCGCCGCUGCUGGGAGGCGGACGGGUCGCGGGUUCGAGACCCGC